CCCCGGUAAACGGCGGCCGUAACUAUAACGGUCCUAAGGUAGCGAAAUUCCUUGUCGGGUAAGUUCCGACCUGCACGAAUGGCGUAAUGAUGGCCAGGCUGUCUCCACCCGAGACUCAGUGAAAUUGAACUCGCUGUGAAGAUGCAGUGUACCCGCGGCAAGACGGAAAGACCCCGUGAACCUUUACUAUAGCUUGACACUGAACAUUGAGCCUUGAUGUGUAGGAUAGGUGGGAGGCUUUGAAGUGUGGACGCCAGUCUGCAUGGAGCCGACCUUGAAAUACCACCCUUUAAUGUUUGAUGUUCUAACGUGGACCCGUAAUCCGGGUUGCGGACAGUGUCUGGUGGGUAGUUUGACUGGGGCGGUCUCCUCCUAAAGAGUAACGGAGGAGCACGAAGGUUGGCUAAUCCUGGUCGGACAUCAGGAGGUUAGUGCAAUGGCAUAAGCCAGCUUGACUGCGAGCGUGACGGCGCGAGCAGGUGCGAAAGCAGGUCAUAGUGAUCCGGUGGUUCUGAAUGGAAGGGCCAUCGCUCAACGGAUAAAAGGUACUCCGGGGAUAACAGGCUGAUACCGCCCAAGAGUUCAUAUCGACGGCGGUGUUUGGCACCUCGAUGUCGGCUCAUCACAUCCUGGGGCUGAAGUAGGUCCCAAGGGUAUGGCUGUUCGCCAUUUAAAGUGGUACGCGAGCUGGGUUUAGAACGUCGUGAGACAGUUCGGUCCCUAUCUGCCGUGGGCGCUGGAGAACUGAGGGGGGCUGCUCCUAGUACGAGAGGACCGGAGUGGACGCAUCACUGGUGUUCGGGUUGUCAUGCCAAUGGCACUGCCCGGUAGCUAAAUGCGGAAGAGAUAAGUGCUGAAAGCAUCUAAGCACGAAACUUGCCCCGAGAUGAGUUCUCCCUGAGACUUAGAGUCUCCUGAAGGAACGUUGAAGACGACGACGUUGAUAGGCCGGGUGUGUAAGCGCAGCGAUGCGUUGAGCUAACCG
rnacentral:rRNA from 1 species